GAGGAGGAGGCGGAAAAGAAGCCGAAAGAACUGUAGAGCUAAGAGAAGGAGGUGGAGCAGAAGCAGAAGCAGAAAAAACUGUAAAAAUAAGCGGAGGUGGAGGAACCCGAGAAAAAGCCGAAAGAACUGUAGAGCUAAGAGAAGGAGGUGGAGAAGAAGCAGAAAAAACUGAAGAACUAAGUGGAGGAGCCCGAGAAAAAGCCGAAAGAACUGUA